AAAUGUUAUGUUAGGUGCACUUGCAUUGGACUGUUCAAAGAUCGUAAUGAACAAAUCAACUUCUUCCAUCCCCUAUUUGGCUGAUAAUAGCAAUGAUCAAGGUGAGAUUAUCUAUUCUUUACCUGUGUGCCUGCUUUUUGCAAAUUUUCUUGUUAAGGUCACAUUUUUAGUCAAUGAUACAGAUGUCGUGCUUGUUCAUGUAUUCCCUGGUAAAAGCAAAUGAAUUUCCUUGGUCGAUUAUCACAGCAACAACAUUGGCUCUAGUUAUGAUGAAGUAGAUUUUGCUGACAUUAUGUUCCAUUAUAUAGUAACUCAGUAGCAAGCAGUCAUUUUUUAACUUUCUUACAGUGAAGGACAAAUCUACUAUUGAAACUCAGCACAUUACUUUGUCAAGCUUUCAACCAUUGCACAAAAUAAUACACUUAACUUUGUUUGAUUAUGUACCCUCAUUACAUUAUAGAGAUAUCCUCAUUCCUGGUUUCAAGAGAACUACAUAACUUCUUGUAUGCAUGCCCUUAGAUUCCCAUUUGGUAGCUAAGUCGAAAUCUGCUGCAUUUUUACAUUUUGAUAUCGUGUUUCAAUAGACGUAACCACCCAGCUUACUCUCAUUUCAUUGGAUGCAAAUAAUUUUUACUCUAUUCCACAUCUAUCCGUGUCAAUAUCUCAUUUCAACUCUAUCCUCAAUGGUCUGUUGUCAAAACAUGGCAUUAUGUAUUAUUCAAACCUCUUUACGAUUUCUUAAUAAAAUCAAGUUGCACUUUUUUACAUUGUGCAAUUACGCAGCUAUCACCGGGACAACCUCAUAUUCCUUGCAUAGGCUAUUACAAUUACCUAUCCACUUUCCCAGAGUAAUGUUACCUACUUGUUCUAAUUUCUGAAACUAAAUUUUCAUUUAUCCUUCGAUAUCCUAAAAGUUACAUUUUCCCGUAUUAUCAUUCUAAUUUCUUCUGACAGAGACCUAAUCUUUACAGAGGAAUUUUAAAUAGACCUAUUCAAGUCUUCCCAGAAUUGUAGUUUUGUUGUUGUUUUAUCCUAUUACGAAUUAUUAGCAGAAUAAAGUUAUAACUACAGGAAAAUCAUCUUUCGAACUUGUUAAUAAAACAAAAUUCACAUAAUCAAUAACAGACAGAUUAUAUUUAUAUAAAUGUAACAACAUGUCCAAGGGUGAAAGUCAUGAUUGACAUUAUUACUCUGAAAAAUCUCAACUCAGUUUGAGAAGCCGAAUUAACUGUGAGUAUUGUAUUACAAAAUUAUUUUGUAUAAAACAAGAAACAGAUUCUGGUUUUCAUCAAAAAAAACAGUACCUGAAAUCAAAUUGAAUUCCCCUCAUCAGUGCCAAAAAGCUUCAUCCUUGACAAUGGCGUUCUCAAAUAC
rnacentral:lncRNA from 1 species